CGGACGGGUGAGAAUGCUUGGGAAUCUGGCUUAUGGAGGGGGAUAACGACGGGAAACUGUCGCUAAUACCGCGUAGAAUCGAGAGAUGAAAGUGCGGGACCGCAAGGCCGCAUGCCAUAGGAUGAGCCCAAGUGGGAUUAGGUAGUUGGUGGGGUAAAGGCCUACCAAGCCGACGAUCUCUAGCUGGUCUGAGAGGAUGACCAGCCACACCGGGACUGAGACACGGCCCGG
rnacentral:rRNA from 1 species